CCCAUUUAUAGAGCAUAAGAGGAAGCGACCCAUUGUCAAAAUUGUUAGGUAAUGGGAUAUUUUCCCUUUAAAAAAAACUUAUUUGGUAAGAGGCUUGAAGUGCACUUUGGGGGAAGAGAUGGCUAAGGAGCAUGAAUGGCUGUAGUGGUGUUUUUUUAUGAGCGAUAGCUCACAAGUUGUACCCAGCAGAGAGACACACAGAGAGUGAUAAAACUGGAACCCAGCAAGCAGUGGCAGUGUUGGUAAUGCUGCUAGCCCGUAAUGACCUCCUGUGGUCUGCCACAUUCUCUGGUUCAGCACUGGUCAGGUCCUGAGCGUGCCAGACUAGAGAGGUUCAACCUGUGCAACUGAAAAACAUAUCCCUCCAGCUACACAGAGAUGAGAGACCGCUCAGGUGAAGAUGACUGGCGGGAAACCAUGGAAGAAUCUGGACCAGAACUACACAGCGUAGGAGGCAUGGAAUAUGAGACCAAUGUAAAACAGCUGCCUGUACCAUUAGUUCAAGCUAGUAGGACCUUCAUUAAACCUUGCUGAAUCUGGGGACCGGCUUGAUUCUUUUUAGAAGCAAAACCAAACUCACAUCAGCAGUUUUCCAAACAAGCGUGUUUCUGUGAUGACUGUGAAAUUAGGUUAUGCUUUUUGGAAGGCACUUUUCUACCAGAGAGAUGUGUGUGCGUGUGGGCUGCAUGCGACUGGGAUAUGUAGAGGGGUAACGAUGAAGAUUCGGCGGAAUCUGGAAGCGUUUAGAUUGUCCUACCUAUGUGUUCCUUCCAUUUUGAUUCAAUAAAAUAUUUCCCCCUUAAUUAACUAAUGCUUGUUGCUUGGGAAAGAGGGGCAAAGGAUGUUCAGAUUAAUAUGUGAUAACUAACCUACUAUACAUCUGAGAGUGCUAGUCUGUCUGUCGGUCGGUCUGUCUGUCUGUU